rnacentral:rRNA from 1 species
AGGCUACCGCUAUUGGAGUUCGAUUAAGCCAUGCGAGUCUAGAGGCCUAGCCUCGGCGUACCGCUCAGUAACACGUGGGUAACCUACCCUAUGCUGGGGGAUAAGCUCGGGAAACUGAGAAUAAUACCCCAUAGUCCACUACGCCUGGAACGGUGAGUGGAUCAAAGCUCCGGCGGCAUAGGAUGGGCCUGCGGCGUAUCAGGUUGUAGGGGGUGUAACGUACCCUCUAGCCAUCCACGCGUACGGGUGUUGGGAGACAUUGCCCGGAGAUGGAUUCUGAGACACGAAUCCAGACCCUACGGGGUGCAGCAGGCGCGAAAACUUGGCAAUGCGAGAAAUCGUGACCAGGGAACUCCAAGUGGCAGGGGUAAGACCCUGUCUUUUUCCGACUCUAAAUAGGUCGGCGAAUAAGGGGUGGGUAAGGACGGUGCCAGCCGCCGCGGUAAUACCGGCGCCUCAAGUGGUAGUCGCUUUUAUUGGGCCUAAAACGUCCGUAGCCGGUCUGGUACAUUCGUGGGUAAAUCAACUCGCUUAACGAGUUGAAUUCUGCGAGGACGGCCAGACUUGGGACCGGGAGAGGUGUGGGGUACUCUCAGGGUAGGGGUAAAAUCCUGUCAUCCUGAGAGGACCACCUGUUGCGAAGGCUCCACACUAGAACGGAUCCGACGGUCAGGGACGAAGCCUAGGGGCACGAACCGGAUUAGAUACCCGGGUAGUCCUAGGUGUAAACGCUGUGGACUUGAUGUUGGGGACGCUCCGAGCGUUCUCAGUGUCGAAGCGAAGGCGAUAAGUCCACUGCCUGGGGAGUACGGUCGCAAGGCUGAAACUUAAAGGAAUUGGCGGGGGAGCACCGCAACCUGAGAUUGUGCGGUUUAAUUGGAUUCAACGCCGGG